rnacentral:rRNA from 1 species
CAGGUCAGCAUACUGCCGUGAAUACGUUCCCGGGCCUUGUACACACCGCCCGUCACACCAUGAGAGUUGGGAAUACCCGAAGCCUGUGAGCUAACGUUAAGAGGCAGCAGUCGAAGGUAGAGUCAAUGAUUGGGGUGAAGUCGUAACAAGGUAGC